AUUGAACGCUGGCGGCAUGCCUUACACAUGCGAGUCGAACGGCAGCACGGGGGCAACCCUGGUGGCGAGUGGCGAACGGGUGAGUAAUACAUCGGAACGUGUCCUGUAGUGGGGGAUAGCCCGGCGAAAGCCGGAUUAAUACCGCAUACGCUCUACGGAGGAAAGGGGGGGAUCUUAGGACCUCCCGCUACAGGGGCGGCCGAUGGCAGAUUAGCUAGUUGGUGGGGUAAAGGCCUACCAAGGCGACGAUCUGUAGCUGGUCUGAGAGGACGACCAGCCACACUGGGACUGAGACACGGCCCAGACUCCUACGGGAGGCAGCAGUGGGGAAUUUUGGACAAUGGGCGAAAGCCUGAUCCAGCAAUGCCGCGUGUGUGAAGAAGGCCUUCGGGUUGUAAAGCACUUUUGUCCGGAAAAGAAAAACGCCGU
rnacentral:rRNA from 1 species